AUGAAGAUCCUUAGCUGGAACUCUCAGUGUUUGGGCCAAUCGGGUACAGUUCGUGAACUCGUGUGCCUAGUGCAUGCCCACCGCCCCUCUGUCGUGUUCAUAUCUGAAACGCGGCAGUGCGAGGAGAGCGUCAAGAAAAUAAGAUGGUGGCUUGGCCUCAAGCACUGUAUCACCCACGGCGGAGUGGGAAAAGGUGUCGGCAUCACCCUAUUUUGGGACGAUAGUGUUGAAAUAAAGACACUCUCAUAA
rnacentral:rRNA from 1 species